rnacentral:rRNA from 1 species
GAUGAACGCUGGCGGCGUGCCUAAUACAUGCAAGUCGAGCGAACAGACGAGGAGCUUGCUCCUCUGACGUUAGCGGCUGACGGGUGAGUAACACGUGGAUAACCUACCUAUAAGACUGGGAUAACUUCGGGAAACCGGAGCUAAUACCGGAUAAUAUAUUGAACCGCAUGGUUCAAUAGUGAAAGACGGUUUUGCUGUCACUUAUAGAUGGAUCCUCGCCGCAUUAGCUAGUUGGUAAGGUAACGGCUUACCAAGACAAUGAUGCGUAGCCGACCUGAGAGGGUGAUCGCCCAAACUGGAACUGAGACACGGACCAGACUCCUACGGGAGGCAACAGUAGGGAAUCUUCCGCAAUGGGCGAAAGCCUGACAGAGCAACGCCGCGUGAGGGAUGAAGGUCUUCGGAUCAUAAAACUCUGUUAUGAGGGAAGAACAAAUGUGUAAGUAACUAUGCACGUCUUGACGGUACCUAAUCAGAAAGCCACGGCUAACUACGUG